AUGCUCCACUGGGAGCACAUACACUAAAACCAGACCAAUGUGGAGAGAUUAGCAUGGCCUCUGCUCAGGAUGACAUGCAAAUUCGUGAAGUGUUCCAUGUGUUA